CCUACGGGAGGCAGCAGUGGGGAAUAUUGGGCAAUGGAGGAAACUCUGACCCAGCGACGCCGCGUGAGGGAUGAAGGCCUUCGGGUUGUAAACCUCUUUCAGUAGGGAAGAAGCGAAAGUGACGGUACCUACAGAAGAAGCACCGGCUAACUAUGUGCCAGCAGCCGCGGUAAUACAUAGGGUGCAAGCGUUGUCCGGAAUUAUUGGGCGUAAAGAGCUCGUAGGUGGUUCGAUACGUCGGAUGUGAAAAUCAGGGGCUCAACCCCUGACCUGCAUCCGAUACGGUCGAGCUAGAGUUUGGUAGGGGAGACUGGAAUUCCUGGUGUAGCGGUGGAAUGCGCAGAUAUCAGGAGGAACACCGAUGGCGAAGGCAGGUCUCUGGGCCAAUACUGGCACUGAGGAGCGAAAGCGUGGGGAGCGAACAGGAUUAGAUACCCUGGUAGUCCACGCCGUAAACGGUGGGCGCUAGUUGUGCGAACCUUCCACGGUUUGUGCGACGCAGCUAACGCAUUAAGCGCCCCGCCUGGGGAGUACGAUCGCAAGAUUAAAACUCAAAUGAAUUGACGG
rnacentral:rRNA from 1 species